rnacentral:lncRNA from 1 species
GGUCCGCGCGCCUCCUGGCCGCCGCCCCGCAGACCUCCCCGCGCGGGGCUCGGGCCCCGGGCGCCGCCCGUUGUUGGCUUAGAGCCCAAGUCGCGUUUCCCGCUGCCCCUUCUCCCGGCUUCUCUCUUCCGUGCUGGCCGCCUGCGGUGUCUCUAUUCUUCCUGGGCCCUGCCUGGCACAAGAGGUAUUGCUUAAGAAGGAGGCUCAUUGAAUGGAUGUUCAGUUACAUCCAAUGUUUGCCUGAGAAUAUUCCAGAGGGCAGAUACCUGAAUCAUCAUGCAGCCAAUGCAGGCCAGAAGGACGGAUAAUAGUGAAACGGCACUGGACUGGGCCUCUGGGUCGAGUUCCCUUCUCGGUUAUGCCAACAAGGCUAUUAUACUCUGUACUCUCAAUGAGAGCGGUACUCUCUGGGCCUGAUUUUGCCCCCAGAAAAAUGAGGUGCAAACAGAAAAGAUAUUAAUGUUGGAUGGUUUAGACUUUAUUCCGGAUUUUAAUUACUUCAUUUGCAUUGAACUUUAUAAAUACUUGGAAAGCAGCAUGCCAUCCAUCCUCACUGGGUCCACAAAACUGCCAUGUGAAGUGAGUCAGCAGGGCAUUUUAUCCCCAAAUGUAUAAUAGCUAAUGAUAAUCAUUUCCUUUCAUGGAGCCCCUAUAUGUGCUAACCUGUGCCUUCCAUUAAAUGUCUCAUUUACUCACCAUAAUACCUGAUAGAUAUUGUUAUGCCCACUUUACAGAUCAGAAAGCCAAGGCUAAUAGGAGUUGGGACUCACUGAAUGCAGUCUCCUCAUCGAUGGCUGAGUCAGAAUUUGAAUCUGGGUAUCUUAGCUCCAGUUUCAGGCUUUCUAAGGUCUGGGCAAGUUAUACAAGGCCUGCCAACUAUCUCCUUCUCCUACACAAUAUUCCUUACAUAUAUUUACCAUCCAUAUGAUCAAAGGACAGUGUUGGCCAGUAUGGCCUUCCAUGGCCUUGUCAUUGAAACAUAAGAGAUUUAAACCAGGCAAACUGUUGACAAAUGUUUGUCAGGCACCCCAUGCAUGUCUAAUACUCUACCAUGGGCUUCAGGACCCUGAAGAAACACUAGAAAUAUCUCAUUCUAUAAGGAUUUUACAAUCCUAGAUGAUGAAACCAAGGGAGCCAGUAAAAUGUCAGUAAAUGGGCGAUAUAAUGUAUCAUAAUGGAAAUGACCCAACUUUAUAGAAUACUCACUCUGCUCCCACUGUGGCCUAGACAAUUAGGUGUGAUUCUCCUAUGACAAUUAGGUGUGAUUCUCCUAUGACAAGUCUAUGCAGUGGCACUCUUUACAUCUCUUUUAGGGAGGGGGAUUCCGAGAGUAUGGUUCAGUCACUGCUGGAUGUCCCACAGCUGGCAAGUGGCAAAGCCAGGAUUUUAUCUGGGGCCUCUGACCACAAAGUCCACUCUCCUUCCCUGUGCCUCACGGCUUCUCAUUCUUGACACAUUAUGCAAACGUAGGUCAAGGUGGGAGGGACGAUGUCUGGAAAUAGGAAAAUUCAGGGUUUUGAGAUGUGAUAAGACAUUCUCUGCAAUAUGCUGGACAGGAAAAGGGUUUUAUAACCUUGCCUUACAGUGGAAAAUAAAUACCAUAGGGAAUUUUCAAAGUACUGCAGGAGAGAAGAAAUCAGUGGGCAUUGGGAUUUGGAGAAGAUGGGCUUUGGGUCUGAAAGCUGGGUUCAGAUCUUGACCUCAUGAUUUACAAGCUGAGGUUAAUCUCUCUACACCUCAGUAUUCUUGUCUGUAAAUAGGGUAAUGAUAUGUCUCUGUUUCAACUUAUGAUAUGGCAUUUGAAAUGUCUGACAGGAUGACUGGCCUCAUGGCAGAUGCUCAGGAAAAUGACAGUUACCUGAGGCAGCUGUACAGUGAGAGCCUGUUGACAAAACCUACAAAUAACAUGUUGAUUCAAAGUGAAGACAGUUGGAGAAUUUGUUAUUUAGCCAAGGGCUUCCUUGCCCUGGGUUUUGAUUCAUUUCCUGGUGUUUUUACUGUUGGAAUUAAUAGGUAAGCCAAGAAGACCUGGUUCUGGCUAUCUAUUGCUGCAUAAUAAACCACCCAAAUCAGUGGCUUAAGGCAACACUCAUUUAUUUUGUUUAUGAGUAUGAGGGUUGACUGGGCUUAGCUAGGCAGUUCCUGCUCGGAGUUCCUCAGACAAUCGUAGUCAGGUAGUUCUGGGGCUGGGGUCAUCUGGAAACUUCUUCACUCUUGUAUCUGAAGUCCGGGCUGGAAGACUCAAUGAGUUGGGGCUCCUUGGACAUCUCUCUCUAGGUGGUAUCCCCACAUGGUGUCUCUGGAAAACUAACAGAAGACCAGGGGGAGUCCUCAGUGACCUGCUCAGGUCCUGUGCCCAUUCCUGAACCAAUCACUGUGGCCAGAAGGAGGCUGUGCUUUGAUUGGGUGAACCCAGAUCAUGGGCUUCUCCUGGGUCAGCCCCAUGAGACUGCGAGUGGGAAAAUGAUGAUUCUCAGGGGAAAACUGAAGUGGAGAUGGAUGAUGGAAAAGCAAGGUUAUCACUGUCUUGUGGAGUUCUUUGCUUCUCACUGGUGCUCAAAAGAUACUUGUUAUGGUAAUGAUGGGUGGGGAUAAGUCUAACACCCCUUGCAUAGAGGUACCAGACCAACCGGUGGCUUCUCUGCCUGGACUGGAGGCUGCACACCAUACUGUUGCCUUGGGGUUGGCAUGGCAGGCAGGCUGAGGGUUUUAUGAACUCUACGCUUUGGCCAGACUUGCCUUUUCCUACAUCUGUGUCUUUGCUUCGUCAUCUCUUCUACUUAGAAUGGCCUUCCCACCCAUUCCCACUAUUUGGAAUUAUAUCCCCCAAUUUGUAAGAUCCAAUUUAUGGUCAUUUUUAAUAAGAUUUUAUUUAUUUGAGAGGUACAGAGAGAGAGAGAGAGACAUAGGCAGAGGGAGAAGCAGGCACCCCAUGGGGAGCCUGAUUGGAACUUGAUCCCAGGACUCCAGGAUCACAACCUGAGCCAAAGACAGAUGCUCAACUACUGAGCCACCCAGGUGUCCCCAUUUAUGGUCAUUUUAGUCAAAGGCAAACUUUUCUUCCUCCAGUCUUUAUGGCCUUGCUGCUCAAAGUGUGGUCCAAGUGCCAUCUGCAGCAGCGUCACCUGGGGACUUGUCAGAAUCUUGGUCACUUCAGAUCACUUGAUCAGAUCUCCCUAUCAGAGUCUGCAUUUUAACAUGAUUCCCAAGUGGUUUAUAGCGACAUUAAAAUUUGAGCCACACCACUCCAGAGCAGUGGUCCUUACAGAGUGGUCCAAGGAACCACUUUCAGGGAUCUGAGAAGUCAAGACUCUUUUCCACACUAAAACUUCUCAGCUUGCUCUUGGCACUGGGUUAGUGAGUAUCUGGUGAGGCCUGCCUCUACUUCCUUAUCCUUGAGAGAAAGCAGGAGUCCUGGGGUUUCUCCCUGGGCAUCCAGCUCCAUGGAUUUCCUUUGUUGGCUCAGGCUUUGACACUGAGCCUUAGAAUAUCAAUAUUUGCAAAACACUUUGAAAAUUAGGAAAUCCUGGGAUCCCUGGGUGGCGCAGCGGUUUAGCGCCUGCCUUUGGCCCAGGGCGCGAUCCUGGAGACCCGGGAUCGAAUCCCACGUCGGGCUCCCGGUGCAUGGAGCCUGCUUCUCCCUCUGCCUGUGUCUCUGCCUCUCUCUCUCUCUCUCU